AUUUAUGUAGUUUAACAAAAACAUUACAUUUUCAAUGUAAAAAUAAAAAUUUAUUUUUUAUAAAUA
rnacentral:tRNA from 1 species